GCUCAGUUUGAAGCUCUUUGCCAGCCGUGGACCAAUUUGCAUCUCUUCUCCAUCCAGGGAAUCUGCUGCAUGGAACUAAUAGAUGCUUUCUGAGCUGAAGUGAAUUCAGGGGAGUCAAGGACAUGCUCAGCACCUCAAGGACUGAUCUCGAAGAGAGCAAUCAAGCAGGCAUUGUGUGCGUCAGUGAGUGAAGAACUUGGGAACUGAUUUCUGCCAACAACAGACUGAGAGGGGAUGCUUUUCAAUGGAAAAUGUACAGUACGGUCAAAGAGCUGAAGAGCCUAUAGAGAGCUCCAUUUGCAAAUUCUUCGUUGAAGAAAUAGAUGCGUUCUCAGCUGAAGGAUGGAUUGUUGGGCAAGAAAACAGCAAUCUCUCCAGCUUGCAGGAUGCUUCUCCAGGUCCUCAUUCUGAAGUGUGUGUCUUGGAUUGCUUUUGUAUUCAGCAAGAAGCAGGCCCUGAACCUGCCUUUUGCACCCUUUGAGAACGCUGCUUCAUGUGGAGCCAUUUUCUAAAAGACCUGUUGAGAGUUACCCUUUUCCC